rnacentral:rRNA from 1 species
AUUUUCCGAAAUAGUGACAAAAAAUAUCAAUGCUGGGGUACUAUGUAUCUAGUAAUUGGAAUGAGUACAAUUUAAAUCCCUUAACAAGUAACAAUUAGAGGGCAAGUCUGGUGCCAGCAGCCGCGGUAAUUCCAGCUCUAAUAGCGUAUAUUAAUAUUGUUGCAGUUAAAAAGCUCGUAGUUGAAAUUUGGAACUUUAUUAUAUUGGUUUAUCUUUUGAUGAACUGUAUGAUGGGUUUCUUCCUACUAGAGUUCGAUUCUGUUCUUAAUUGAAUGGAGUAGCUAUCUUUCGGGGUAGUCAGUUGGUUAUUUAUGUCUCCACUAAUGAGCAGAGAGGGGUAAAACCUUCAAAGUGAGUUUUGUGGGUCAAGAUAUAGUGAUUAAUUGGAGUUUCUAGUUCGUUUACUUUGUAGAAAAUUAGAGUGUUUAAAGCAGCCUCUUGGGGCACUGAAUACAUUAGCAUGGGAUAAUAAAAUAGGAUCUUCACAAUAUAUUUUAUUGGUUUAAAUUGGAUAUGAAGAUAAUGAUUAAUAGGG